UACGGGGGGGGGCAAGCGUUGUUCGGAAUUACUGGGCGUAAAGGGCUCGUAGGCGGCCAACUAAGUCGGAUGUGAAAUCCCCAGGCUUAACCUGGGAACUGCAUCCGAUACUGGAUGGCUUGAAUCCGGGAGAGGGAUGCAGAAUUCCAGGUGUAGCGGUGAAAUGCGUAGAUAUCUGGAGGAACACCGGUGGCGAAGGCGGCAUCCUGGACCGAUACUGACGCUGAUGAGCGAAAGCCAGGGGAGCAAACGGG
rnacentral:rRNA from 1 species